GAGGAGGAGGGAUUGGAAGUGAAACUUGCAUUUUGUUCUGCCUGGAUUCCUGCAUAAAGGAUAAUAACAGAGACAUUUUGGAUUAGAAAUGUUCUACAAGAAGAAGGCUUCUAGAAGAAGAGAUAGGGGGUACAGCACAUGAGAAGAAAGUCAGCAAAUCUGCACAAAUGCCAGGAAAAAGAAAAAAAUAAGAAUAAAAUGAACUUACCAGACAUUGGAGAAGAUCAGUAAUUUUUUUAAUUAUUUUUUUUCUCAGAUUUUUCAAGGAAAGGGGAGAGAAAAAAAACAAAAAAAACAAAAAUCCCCAGGGAUGCUGCAGCCUGGUCUAGAGAGCUAAGUCCCUUCUCUAAGGCAAAAAAUAAGGCUCAAGAGUGUAAUUUCUUCAAAGUUCCCGAAAUAAAGCAGGUCCCUCUGCUGUAAUGGAGGCUGAGGAUAUAGGAUACCAAUGUAUUAUGGCUACAGAUAUAGGUUUGGAUUUUUUCCCCACCAUGCCAUCUAUUUAAAAACUCUAGAAACCAAUGAUUUGACAAUCAAUGAUUGCGCGAUAGUUUCAAUUUGAAUAUUCAAAGCCCUAACAAAAAGACAGAUCUUUUGGUGAAACAAAGCCCGUGUGCCUGUACCUGAGGGUCUUUAGGAAUAAGAUUCGAUGUCGAUCCCUCCCACCGGACUUUUCGGAAAGAAAUUUUUAACAUUUUUUAAAGCUUUUCCCUAAAAUGAGCAGAGGGGAGGUUAAUUAGCCCGGUAAUUGUGAGGCAGGGAGCUGCAGAUCCCCCGUCGCUGUUUUGUAAGGGGGAGCUAGUGAUUUGGGAACUUAGGGCGCAGGUGACGGAAUUUUGGGGGGUCACGCAGGGCUGAUUAGAGGGGUUUUAAGGGGGAUACGAGACAGCUAGGCCAGCAGGGGGCGUGGCAGCCGAGCAGACAGUGCUGAGCAUUGUGUCUUUGUGUGACAGGAGCAGGCCGGGCGCCUCGCAGCCUCCUCUGCUCAGGUGCAGCAUAUUACCACUGCCUUUUACACCCCCCUGUCCGUGAUAUUACAGAGGGGCGCACGAAAUAAAGGCGUGAACGCACCCGUGCAGUGUAAUCGUGUGAAAAUGCCAUAUGUCAUGGCUGUACACACGCGCUAUAUAAUGACAUAUCCUACUAAUCCUAUCUUAGUUUAUAGGUACAGAAAUACGUGCACCCAGCGUCGGAAGGGGGCGCUAUACGGAGAUUACCUGGAGCGGAGGUGUUGAUGCCGAUAGGGAGUGCGGGUGACCUCCUGUCCUUCUUUUUACUCCUCAUGCAGUAAUCACUACUAUUAUAAUAGUCUAGGCUUGCGGUAAGGCUACGUUCACACGGCCAUUUGUAUUUUGCGGUCCGCAAAAAAAUAUGGAUGACAUCCAUGUUGCAUCCGUUUUUUUUUUUUUUUUUGCGGAUCC